rnacentral:misc_RNA from 1 species
CAUUUUCCGUGCGGUCCUUUUGAAGCGGAUCCUUUUUUAGCAGCUUGGUCUGGCUAAAAAAGAUACAGCGGAAAGAGCGGCCCGAU